rnacentral:rRNA from 1 species
AUGGAUACAAACCCUGGGAGUAGAGUAGUAGUCACUACUGUAACUCCAACACCCACUGAAAAAAUCCCCCAUCCAGGUCCAAGAUUCCAUGCUAUGUUCUAUUGCGUCAAUGGAGCAAGGGAGGGGUUUCUCAAGGGGUGCAGACCAUUCAUUGGUGUUGAUGGGUGCUUCAUUAAGUUAACUGCUGGUGCUCAACUACUUGCUGCCACUGGUAGAGAUGGCAACAACAAUAUAUACCCACUAGCAUUUGGUAUUGUUGGGCAAGAGGACACACCUACUGGUGUUGGUUUCUACACCAACUUAAAAUCUGCCUAG